GCAGCGGAGCGUGUGGUUUAAUUCGUUGCUACACGAAGAACCUUACCUGGGUUUGACAUAUAGGUUGUAGGGAACUGAAAAGGGACCGACCCUUCGGGGAGCCUAUACAGGUGUUGCAUGGCUGUCGUCAGCUCGUGUCGUGAGAUGUUCGGUUAAGUCCGCUAACGAGCGCAACCCUCGUCGUAUGUUAUAUGUGUCAUACGAGACUGCCGGUAAAAGCCGGAGGAAGGUGAGGAUGAUGUCAAGUCAGCAUGACCUUUAUAUCCAGGGCUACACACACGCUACAAUGGCCAACACAAUAGGUUGCUAAGCCGCGAGGUGGCGCCAAUCCAUAAAGUUGGUCUCAGUUCAGAUUGUAGGCUGCAACCCGCCUGCAUGAAGAUGGAGUUGCUAGUAACCGCAGGUCAGCUAUACUGCGGUGAAUACGUUCCCGGGGCUU
rnacentral:rRNA from 1 species